GCGCAGCAGGCGCGAAUUUUUCACAAUGGACGAAAGUCUGAUGGAGCGACGCCGCGUGGAGGAUGAAGGUUUUCGGAUUGUAAACUCCUGUCACUGCAGAACAAGGAUACGUCAGUUAACAGCCGACGUAUUUGAUGGUAUGCGGAGAGGAAGGGACGGCUAACUCUGUGCCAGCAGCCGCGGUAAGACAGAGGUCCCGAGCGUUGUUCGGAUUCAUUGGGCGUAAAGGGUGUGUAGGAGGUCGGGUAAGUCAGGUGUGAAAUCUCAGAGCUUAACUCUGAAACUGCGCUUGAUACUGCCCGGCUAGAGGAUCGGAGGGGGUAUCGGAAUUUAUGGUGUAGCAGUGAAAUGCGUAGAUAUCAUAAGGAACACCGGUGGCGAAGGCGGAUACCUGGAAGAUUCCUGACUCUGAAACACGAAAGCCAGGGGAGCAAACGGGAUUAGAUACCCCUGUAGU
rnacentral:rRNA from 1 species